rnacentral:rRNA from 1 species
UACGGGGGGGCAAGCGUUGUUCGGAAUUACUGGGCGUAAAGGCGCGUAGGCGGCCUGCUAAGUCGGACGUGAAAUCCCCCGGCUCAACCGGGGAACUGCGUCCGAUACUGGUGGGCUCGAAUCCGGGAGAGGGAUGUGGAAUUCCAGGUGUAGCGGUGAAAUGCGUAGAUAUCUGGAGGAACACCGGUGGCGAAGGCGGCAUCCUGGACCGGCAUUGACGCUGAGGCGCGAAAGCCAGGGAGCAAACGGG